rnacentral:rRNA from 1 species
AAACUNUCUACAACGGAUCUCUUGGCUCUCGCAUCGAUGAAGGACGCAGCGAAAUGCGAUACGUAAUGUGAAUUGCAGGAUUCAGUGAAUCAUCCAUCUUUGAUACGCACGUUGCGCUCUGUGGUAUUCCGAGGAGCAUGCUUGUUUGAGUGUCAUGA